AUCGCUUCUCGGCCUUUUGGCUAAGAUCAAGUGUAGUAUCUGCAUUUGGUCUGGUCGGAAGGUGUCUGUGGUACCCCGCUUCUCGGCCUUGGGGGAUUGUCUCUCCUUACGAGGACUUCACCCCCUUGCUGCUAUUGGGGAGCGGGCUUAGUCCACAGACAACGGGUUGCGAUCCCCCUGUCUCUGGGACCCUUU